rnacentral:rRNA from 1 species
CACUGUGUAUCUGUUGUUCCACCAGGAGCAUCGCAGAGUAGCUACGUUCGGACGGGAUAACCGCUGAAAGCAUAUAA